rnacentral:ncRNA from 1 species
GCGCGGGGACGACCUCACGCCUGCAUUCUCAUUCGGGACGACCCG